rnacentral:rRNA from 1 species
GAUGAACGCUGGCGGCGUGCCUAAUACAUGCAAGUCGAGCGAACGGACGAGAAGCUUGCUUCUCUGAUGUUAGCGGCGGACGGGUGAGUAACACGUGGAUAACCUACCUAUAAGACUGGGAUAACUUCGGGAAACCGUAGCUAAUACCGGAUAAUAUUUUGAACCGCAUGGUUCAAAAGUGAAAGACGGUCUUGCUGUCACUUAUAGAUGGAUCCGCGCUGCAUUAGCUAGUUGGUAAGGUAACGGCCUACCAAGGCAACGAUGCAUAGCCGACCUGAGAGGGUGAUCGGCCACACUGGAACUGAGACACGGUCCAGAGUCCUACGGGAGGCAGCAGUAGGGAAUCUUCCGCAAUGGGCGAAAGCCUGACGGAGCAACGCGGCGUGAGUGAUGAAGGUCUUCGGAUCGUAAAACUCUGUUAUUAGGGAAGAACAUAUGUGUAAGUAACUGUGCACAUCUUGACGGUACCUAAUCAGAAAGCCACGGCUAACUACGUG